rnacentral:rRNA from 1 species
GGAAUUUUGGACAAUGGGGGCAACCCUGAUCCAGCAAUGCCGCGUGUGUGAAGAAGGCCUUCGGGUUGUAAAGCACUUUUGUCAGGAACGAAACGGUGGGGGCUAAUACCUUCUGCUAAUGACGGUACCUGAAGAAUAAGCACCGGCUAACUACGUGCCAGCAGCCGCGGUAAUACGUAGGGUGCGAGCGUUAAUCGGAAUUACUGGGCGUAAAGCGUGCGCAGGCGGUUGUGCAAGACAGAUGUGAAAUCCCCGGGCUCAACCUGGGAAUGGCAUUUGUGACUGCACGGCUAGAGUGUGUCAGAGGGGGGUAGAAUUCCACGUGUAGCAGUGAAAUGCGUAGAUAUGUGGAGGAAUACCGAUGGCGAAGGCAGCCCCCUGGGAUAACACUGACGCUCAGGCACGAAAGCGUGGGGAGCAAACAGGAUUAGAUACCCUGGUAGUCCACGCCCUAAACGAUGUCUACUAGUUGUCGGGUCUUAAUUGACUUGGUAACGCAGCUAACGCGUGAAGUAGACCGCCUGGGGAGUACGGUCGCAAGAUUAAAACUCAAAUGAAUUGACGG